CAAUUUGUUCAUGCUUUUGUUACGUUUAGGUGUGACUACUGUAAUGCCUUGCUUUCUGUAUGUAGGUGCAUAUACAAGCUCCAGUUAGUCCAGAAUGCAGCAGCCAGAGUCAGAUCUAGAACCAGAAGGUUUGAUCACAUCACCCCUAUCUUAUCAACACUGCAUUAGCUCCCAGUUAAAUUUUGCAUUGAUUAUAAAAUACUACUAGUUACUGCUAAAGCAGUGAAUAGUCUUGCACCACAGUAUCUGAGUGAAAUUUUGGUCUUUUAUGAUCUGUCACACCUGCUUUGAUCAAAAUGAGCAGGCUCUUUAUUAGUACCUAGAAUAAUGAGGACUACAGCAGGGGCGAUAGCCUUUUCUUUCAAAGACCCCAGUUAUUAUAGAACAGCCUUCCAAUUUCUGUUCAGGACUCAGAAACUGUCUCAAUCUUUAAGUCUAAGCAGAAAGCCUAUUUGUUUAGUCAACCUUCCUAUUGUACCAUGCACAUUUUUACUUUCUUUGUUUGUUCAUGAUAUGUUUUGCUGUUUUUUGUUUUUUUUUGGUGUUUUGGUCACUGGUUGAGUUUGUCCGCUGCCAGUUAUGAAUAAAAACAGUUUUGAGUGAUUGGAUUCCCCAGGCCUUCCCACAGGUGCCAUGUGUGCCUAGGAGUUUGCUCUGUUCAGUAUCUGAUCACUGUUCAGUAGCUUGUCUGUGCUCACUGUGUAUGCAGUUCUGUGGCUCUGUGAUACCUUGGCAUGGCAUUUGGGAGGUGAUGCUGCGGCUGUGCAGACUGUAAUGGCCAUAACAGCACUGGCUUCAAUGGGAUAGUGAGCAGCUGUGCAGAUGAAAUUAGAUCAUGGCUACUUGUCUUAGACUCUGCAAACCAGCUUAUUUAUACACAUGUUACUCCUGCUGCCUGGUGAGAUGCUCGUGAUCCUGACUGCUUCUGCUCUCUAGACCUGCCUGAUCUAUUCUGAUGCUCUACUUCUGCUUGGAGCUUCCUUCACCUGAGAAACACUCUGUGCUGCUGAGGAUUCAGAUGGAUCCAGGUGGAUAGCCUAAAGUUUCCUAAAGAUUGCUGUGGAUGGUCUCACUUGGAUAGACUAAAACUAGUCUAUGCUCAGGUCUAUGCUAAUUUAUUAUUCAGUGGAUAAAUUCACUUAGAUACAAUAGAUUUAAAGCUGAAAACUCUAAACUCUAAGCUAACCCUGAUGCUCAUACUGAGGAUCCUUUCAACACACUCAGUACUGUUUGACUUUGCACUAUACAGUAGUGGAAGUGUAAUAACUCUUAAUCGCACACUUAUGUCACCCAGAAGAGGAUGGGUUCCCCUUUGAGUCUGGUUCCUCUCAAGGUUUCUCUCUCAUGUCUUUCAGAGUUUUGUCAUUGUCUCUGUUGCCUCUGGCUUGCUCAUUAGGGAUCUACAUUCUCCUCCAAAACUAUUGGAACUGCAAGGCCAGUUCAUCUGGUUUUGCUGUAGACUGAAGAGAUUUGGGUUUGAAAUCAAAAGAUGAAUAUGAAAAGAGAGUUUAGAAAAGAACGUAGCACAUUUUGUAUCAGUCUGCAUUUGUUGUUAAAAAGAUAAGCCAGCAUGAAUAUCAGAGAGCUGUCUGUGGGAGAAAAGAGGGGAAAUCAAAUCAGAAGCAUGGCACUGGGCAUACCCAAUACAACAAUUUGCAAUGUCCUGAAAAAGAAAGAAACACUGGUGUACUGAGCAACAGACACUGAAUGGGUCAGCCAAGGAAAACAACAACAGCUGAUGACAGAUACAUUGUGAGGGCUGUGGAGAGAAAAAACAGCACCAACAAUUUCCACAGGGCAAGGGUGAAGGUAUUACAAUCCACCAUUUGAAGAAGACUUUUAGAGCAGAAAUAUAGAGGCCAUACCACAAGAUGCAAACCACUCAUGAGCAGUAAGAAUCAGAAAGCCAGCUUGAAAUUUUCAAAGAAAUGCACAGUUGAGCCACAAAAGAUCUGGAACCAAGAUUAACCUCUAUCAAAGUGAUAGAAAUCCCAACGUGUGGAGAAAGAAAACAUCUGCUCCUGAUCCAAAACAUACAAGCUCAUCUGUGAAACAUGGUGGAGGUAAUGUCAUGGGUUGUGCUUGCAUGGCUGCAUCUGGAACGGGCUCACUAAUCUUUAUUGAUGAUGCAACUCAUGAUGGUAGCAGCAAAAUGAAUUCAGAAGUUAAGUUGACAUUUUGUCUACCAGUUUACAGAGAAAUGGAUCCAAAUUAAUCGGGAGGAACUUUAUCAUGCAGCAAGACAAUGAUGAAAAACACAUUGCCAACUCAACAAAGGACUUCAACAGGCUACAAAGUGGAAGGUUUAAAUCAAGUCAAUCACGAGACCUUAACCCAAUUGAGCAGCAUUUCACCUCCUGAAGAAGAGACUGAAGGGACAAACCCCCCACUACACAAAACAAAUGAAAAGGCUACAGUAAAAACCUGGAAAAGCACCACAAAAGAAGAAACCAACAUAUUGUGAUCUCAGUGAAUCAUCGCAGGCUUGAUACAGUUAUUGCAAGCAAGGGAUAUGCAAUCAAAUAUUAAGUGUUAUUUGCUUUCAUUUAUUUCAAGACUUAUGUGUUCCUAUACUUUUGCUCACCUAAAAACUGGGUGGUCUGAUACAGUACAAAUGGUUCUAUGUUUUAUGUUGUUUAGCACAUCUAGAUGUAAAUACUAGGAAAUAAAAGCUGAAAUCCUAAACUCAUGUCUCAUAGCCAUAUUUUGAUCUCAAACCUAAAUGUCUUUGGGGUAUAUUACAAACAAAUGAAUUGGCCUUACCGUUCCAAAAAUUUCAGAGGUGACCUGUAAAUCUCAAUCCAUAUCUAGAGUUCUGCAAAGCCGCUUUGUAAAAAUCUUCAUUGUUAAAUGCACUAUAUAAAUGAAAUGAAUUAAGUUGAAAUAAGACAUAUCAUGUUACCAAGAAGCAGGAACCAUGAAGUCCUCUAUCCUUAUGACUUUCCCAUGGCAAAAAAAAUUACUGACCAUUAAAAAAAAAAAUGCUAGCACUGGAGUCUCCUCCCUAAAUUUUGAAUAAACCUUUCUGUACAGACAACUAUAGCAUCUCAAAGAUUAAACAUUUUUCUUUGUUAAAUACUAAUAUGUUUUUUUUUUUAAAAUCCAUUUAUUAUUAGUCUUAGAUGAUGCAGAGUGUCCGCCAUACCAGCCCCAGUAAAUGUUUUCUUACCAUAGAAAUGGCAAUGCAUGUAAUUAACAUAUGUGUAUUUUGAAUUUCUGCUGGCACUGUCAGAGCUGUGAAUCCCCAUAUUUAUUCAUACAAAUACAGCUGACAUGAUGAAGGAAGAUAUUGUUGAUUGCUGAGGUACAUAUUUAGUCAGACUUUAAAAUCAGUCAUCAGUAAGAUAAUGCCAUGAAUGUCCAUGCAUACAAUAAUGGUUAACACAAAAUGUUCAUUUACUAAAUUUGCUUCAGAAUUUAAUCAAGUGCUACAAAAUUAUUAUUAUUAUUAUUAUUAUUAUUAUUAUUAUUAUUAUUAUUAUUAUUAUUAUUAUUAUAUUAUUUUCCUUUCCUGUUCAUUUAUUAUUCCUGGUUCUAGGAAUGGUAGCACUCGUGUGUAGUGCAUAAUCAGUUAAUGGUGUACAGCAGGCAUAAGCAGAACACAAUAAACAAGUGGUACUUUAAAGAAAAUUUAUUUGACCAAGUUGUUUGUGACAAAUUUUGGAAUCAGAGCAACUGGCAUGGUAAUACGUUGGAUCUGGAUGGCAAAGAAGUUGAUUCAUAAAACCUAAGCAUUAUUACAUAGCCAAAGUUAUGUGCAAACAGGUCCAUACAUUAUUUCUCAGGAAUGCAUUUGCGUAUAUACAAUUGCUCUGUCUGUGUAUGAGGGAAGUAUCAGUUGCUCGAGUUGCCUCUUUGUAUUUCGAGCCAGAUAUUAACAAACCAGGUUACUACAUUGUUAUCUGUUUAGUUGAGAAGACAGUGGAAAGUGGUAAUGUUAUCUGCUAGACAUUUCUGUCUUUUUUUCACUCACAGCUUAUGCAAGCACUUUUAAUAAUUAAGAUAUAAAACAAACAAAUCAAAUUACACAGAAAAGAAAACAGCACAUACCAGGUUCUUAUGUGUGCUAAGUCUGAGUUGACUCUUUGAAAUUUGGAAGUAACCAAACUUGCAUUUACAGAAUGGAAUACAUGCAAUAAAUAGUUCCCAUAGUGUUAUAUUGUAGUCUCAAGCAGGAAUUAUGGUUUGUAGUGUAUAAGGCUCAAAUUUAGGAAAAAUAUUCUUCACUAAAGUGAUAGUGGUCACUCCAGUGUGGAUUAAUUUUAAUUGACUUUUGACAGACACGUUGAGCACAUAGCACAUGACCUCUAACAGUGAGGACUGUUUAGGUAAAAUGAAAUUGACUGAAUGUGUACAAUAAAUUUGUAACAUAUUAAUAUGUUUAGAAAAUGUGUCUCUUGAUUUCCAGAAAAUAUUUGUAUUUGUAGUUAAAUUUGUCUCAUGAUAUUCAGAAAAUAUUUGGAUUUGUAAGAAACAAGUCUCAAAAUAUCUGUUAAAUAUUUUAAUUUAUAUUGUAGGAAACAUGUCUCAUGAUAUCCAAAAAUAUAUAGAUUUAUAAGGUUUUGAGGCUCUGAACCUUGAACACUACAACCAAAAGAAUCUCUUCAUGCUGUAAGAAUGUGUAUUUUGAAUUGUGAAUAGUUGUAGUUACUAAUAAGAACAUCAAUAAAAUACAACUUAUAUAAUUUUUGUGCUAGCACAUUUAUCCAGAACUUUCCUUGUAACUAUAUUUGGUGACCUGCUGUGAACACGUGAAAUAUAUCCUAUUCCUAAAAUGUUAUCAGACUCACCAAGAAAUCUGUUAUGACUUCUUUAUCUGUCUCCAUUCUCAGAGCAGUUUUAGACAUGGGGUGCUUUUUUGUGGCACUGUCAGGGGGAAAAUAAUAGAGUAUAUCUGCCUCUCUGGGUGUCAGUCUAUUGGAUGUUUGCCUAAAUUGGCCACCUCUGAGGAAAAUGACAUUGUCUUGUGUACAGCCUAACAAUGCAAUCACUACAGAAUUCCUCUAAAAAUCACAAAUUUAAAAUGCGUGGUCUAUACAGAAAUAAGAUGUGGUCUUGGAUAUAAAAGGUUGCUUUCAUUGUGGGAGUGGAUAGUAAAUCAAGCUGAAAUCUCCACCUCUGUGGAAGGAAAAUAUUUUGCUUUACAGCCUGUCACCGAAACUAGGAACAUGCCCUUGACAUCAUCACACACAGAUGCUUAUGUAAAUUAGCAGUUUCAUCAGUACACUGAAUUCUUUUGUUGGCAAUAACCAGAUUUUAGGGAUUUGGGAUGUAUUAUUACAAAGAAGGAGCUGCACGGAGCAUUUGUAACUUGCAAUUAGGGGCGGUGGUAAUUCAUAUUUUGUUUGCUACUGCUUAUGUUUUUUUUUUUUAAACAAAAGGCUCCUAAUUAAGACAGUGUGCUGCCACAACUUGAUUGCUACUUAAUUCAUGUUGUAAUUUGGCAACAUUCCUGCAUUGCACUUUUUAAAAGCAUGCACUUCCACCGAGCACUUGGCUAGUUUACAGAAGCACUCACCAGAGGAGAUGAUGUGAACUCAUAAAUGCAGUGACUAUGAAUGAGUAUAGAAGAAAUAUGGGCGCUCAAAUGCUUUUGUGCAUUUUAGUACAAUAGGAUAAUAGAAGAAACAACAGUAAGUACUGAGAUAUUUUGGUAAGGUAGUUGGUUUUAUACUAAAGGGUAAGCCAUCCAUUUUAGGUCUUGGCAGUAAAGGCAGCCUAUGCCAUAAAAAAGAAUACUAUCAUAGUGUAUUUAUAGUAUAGUAGUAUAGUGUAGACAAGUUACUUUAAAAUGCAAUCAUCUUAUCAGCCUACACUGGUUUUCAAUAAAUGUGACUUAGUGGUUAGCAAGUUUGCCUCGCACAUCUGAGGUUGAGGGUUGAAAUCCUGCCUCCACCCUGUGUAUGCAGAGUUUGCAUGCUUUCGCCAUGCUUCGAGGGUUUCCUCUGGGUACUCUGGUCUCCCCCCUCAGUCCAAAGACAUGCACUGUAGGCUGAUCUCUAAAUUGUCCAUAGUGUGUGAAUUUGUGUCUGGGAUACACUCCAGACCCUGUGUAGAAUAAGCAGUAUGGACAAUGGAUGAAUGGAGAGUGUAUCUGCCUACCCCUGCUCAUGUAGACAAGCCUGUAUUUAUUGAAACUCUUGUUCAAAUAGAAGCAUAACUGCAGUGUGUGAUGUAUCUGUUGUCCACAUGUGUCUGGUGUGAAUUUAAGGGUGGCAUCAGCUUGUUCCAAACUUGGUCAAAUGCAACCAAAAUAUGCAGUAUUACAGUAUUUUUUUAAAUCACUGAUUUGAUUGUCCACUCAUUAUGAAUGAAACAUAUUUUUGUGUCAGACACAAAAAAAACAUAAAAAACAUAACCUUAGUGAUAAUUACUAGCCAUUAACUACACAUAACUACACACAAACUAAUAUACAUACAGUACUGGCCACACACACACGGCCACACACACACACACACACACACACACAAACACACACACACACACAAUUUUUCAAAAAUCCUCUAUCCCUGGUCAGAACUGCUAACAUGCUUAUUGUUACCUAAUUAGCAAUCAGUAUUUGUUUUUCAUACCUUUACCCUGCUAGAAAAAAGGGUUUUCAUGGUAUUUCAUUUUCAACUGUUUUUGUUGCAUUACACAAAUGAGAGAGAAUAAAUAAACUGAAAUUUAUUUUUUUUUAGUUUGAACACAAUUUUUCCCACCCUAUCAAUCAGGGCUUUUGUGGGUGCUUUUGAAAUUGUACGUAUCCACAGAACACACCAUGAAAUUAUUCCAAAAAUAACAAUUUAAUUUUUAAAAAGAGAACUCUUUUCCUAUUGUAACUGCUUGAAGCAAUUGUCUUGAAGCAAAUGUUGCCUACUAACAAACACUUCAUCAGCAUCGUAAAAAAAAAUAAGAGCAGUCAGUAUAACAAAUAAUUUUUUGGCAAUCCUACUCCUGCCUUGUUGACAACUGGAUGACUUCCCACACACAACCUAGCUAGGUUAUUUGCAUAUUGCACGGGUAAAAAGAGAUGAGAUCACAAUGCGCACAGAAUGCAGGCAAUUAGGACACGUAAAUAUCAGGUGUAAAAGCAGGCGCGAGAUCGGUUCAUUUACUUCCCAGAUAUUAAUAUCCAGCUAGUCAUAACAUGUUAAUGCAUGGUAUAAAUGGGGUCUAGGAUCAAUAACUGUGUUAAUUUGUGCAUUUAUUCUUAUCCUUAAACUAUCAUGGGCAUCAAUGUCAUCUAUUUGUUGUAGUCCAUUAAUGUUUUAGUUUAUUUUAUGCUGGGGAAAAAGAUGUACUUACAUUUGUACAUCCUGUCAGAUGCCAAACAUUAAUUGUUAUUGACACUUUGUUUCUCAUGGCUGGGUGUGUCAAACCUAGAAAUUAGCACAGAGCUGUCAGACAAGCAUUAGGCUUUUCAUAUUUUGACAGCGUGGUUGUCCAUUUCUCAAAGGGACACAAGCACAUCCCACUUUACAGGUCUGUUUCACACAGAUGCUUUUAAACACUUAACACGAUCACAUGCAACAAACUACUCCAUAGUUUCAUUCUUACAAAAUUGUGCAGGAAAGGGAGAACAAAUGUAAACAAAUGCAAACAUUCUGGCCUUUAUUUAAGAAUCUGAAAUCAUUUAAUAAGAGCGAAAAAUUUAAAGGUCGAUUUCAUAAUUGUUGCACAAAAGCAAUCAUGAGCAAUCAGUGCAUUAAAUAACAGCUUGGGACUGAAUGAAGCCUUUCUGUGUUCACACUCCUUCAUACACAUUCCAGACAAUUUAAAGUGUUUGAAAAUAGUCUGCUGGUUCUAAAACUUUACACAGGAGAGCAUUUUAUCAUGUUAUCAUCUAGAGUAUUUAUGCUUUAAAAAAUCGGUGGUCUUUUAAGAGUGCAAAUGUAAAGGGUUAAACUUUAAUUAUAGUCCAAUGUAACACUACACAAAUCAUUUAUAGACUGUCAUGAAACACCCUAUCAACUGUUUCUAAACUACAUAUUAAUUAUAUUUAGUUAUCUUUCAUGUCAUGAAAUACAUAACACUCUGCAUGAAAUGGACUUGAAAUUGUGAUAAGACUAAGGGUAAGCAGAUUGCCUAUAGAUGAGGUACUAAACAUCAAAAGCUAUAAACCUGAACAUAUAAAUAACAUAAAAGUUGCAUCUACACUAUAUGUCCAAAGAUUUGUGGACACCUCACCAUCACACCUAUACGUGGGUGUUUCCCAAAUUGUUGCCACAAAGUUGGAAGCACACAGUACAGGAUAUAUUUGUAUGCUGUAACAUUACAAUUUCCUGUCACUGGAACUAAGGGGCCCAGUUCCAGCUUGACAAUGCCCUGUGUGCAAAGUGAGGUCUAUGAAGACAUGGUUUGCCAAGGUUGGAGUAAAAGAACUUGAGUGGCCUGCACAGAGACCUGACCUUAACCCCACUAAACACCUUUGGGUUGAAUUGGAGCACCUGCUGCACCCCAAACCUCCUCACCCAGCAUCAGUACUUGACCUCAGUAAUGUUCUUGUGCAUAAAUGAUCAGCACAAAUCCCUGCAGCAAUGUUCCAAAAUCUAGAGGAAAGCCUUCCUGGAAGAGUGGAGAUUAUUAUAACAGCAGAGUGGGUAAUAAAUCUAGAAUGGGAUGUUCAAAAAGCACAUGCAGAUUUGAUGGUCAGGUAUCCACAUACUUUUGACCAUAUAGUGUAGUGUAUAGUUUUUUGUGGGGUUUUUUCAUCACAACAACCUAACCAAUAUGACCUGAUGCUUCUUUUUUCACUAAAACAUACUGUACUAUGUCAAUAAACUGAACCCAAAACCACACAGACAAACAGAAAAUCAGAUUUAGAAAAUAAUUUGCAAAUAAUAGCAAUAUGCCAAAAAUGGCGAAGGUAUUGCAAAAAAAUAAAUGCAACAACGGUCCUGUGCAAGCUUGAUCUAAUAACUUUUAUAUUUAUGAACUUAUUUUGUCAGAAGCUGGUCAUAUUGUCUUAACAAAAGAAAAAAAAAGAAAAGAAAACACCAGAA